rnacentral:rRNA from 1 species
UACGAGGGGGGCGAGCGUUGUUCGGAAUUAUUGGGCGUAAAGGGUGCGUAGGCGGUUUGGUAAGUCUGAUGUGAAAUCUAUGGGCUCAACUCAUAGUCUGCAUCGGAAACUGCCGGGCUUGAGUGUGGGAGAGGUGAGUGGAAUUCCUGGUGUAGCGGUGAAAUGCGUAGAUAUCGGAAAGAACACCAACGGCGAAAGCACUCUGCUGGGCCGACACUGACACUGAGAGACGAAAGCUAGGGGAGCGAAUGGG